ACUUAAAUAGCUUAAAUAGAGCAUAAUAUUGAAGAUAUUAGGGUAAUUAAAAUUUUUAAGUA
rnacentral:tRNA from 1 species